rnacentral:lncRNA from 1 species
UAUUUUGUCCAUACAAAAUUUCAAAACAGUGUGGAUUCAAUACAGAUCUGAUGACCUGAGAAGUAAGCAUGUUACCAUGCAUAGGUAAGCCAAAGGGCAGACCCGUGUUUGAAGAGCGAUCACAACAGGAUAAGCACGCAGGCAAAGUUUCCUAUGNCUGAUGACCUGAGAAGUAAGCAUGUUACCAUGCAUAGGUAAGCCAAAGGGCAGAACCGUGUUUGAAGAGCGAUCACAACAGGAUAAGCACGCAGGCAAAGUUUCCUAUGGAUUAAGCUAAAAAUCCAUCUCCUCAGCUGCUUCAUUAAAUGAGUCUGACCAUUUCUGCCGUUCUCUCUUUACAGGGAGAUCCCAAGAGGAGGCUGACUUGAAGCUGGGAGUCCUUAUACGCGGCCUGUGUCUUACUAGUGUGCCUGUGAAGUCACUUGAACUUACCACGUCAGAAUCUUCAGACAGGACGUCUUUUCUUUCAGAUGUAAAUCCCCCUUGGAUGGCUGUCUCCGUAACAGAGUAGGAAGUUGGCAAACAGUGGCUCACUUAGGGCUUUGUUCUUUUUCCUGUAACUCACACUGACGUGCUUUGGAGGUGGGUGACUACUGGUGUUGGCUCCCAGCUCACAGAAAGUCAGGCUUCAGGUGACACCUUUGGCUUUUUCCUACAGCUCCCCACCAGAAGGGGAAGCCCAAGGGGGCAGCUGGCUGUGCAGUCUGAAUCCACUUCCUUUUGAAGAGCUUUCUCAGAUGCUCAACACUGGCCAGCCCCCUGUUACUGGCUGCUGCCAUCUGGAGAUGGCUCGAGCAAUGCCUUCAACCAAAAUCUGCCUUCUCUUGGUGAGGGGUGAUGGCAGCACAUCUCAAGUGGACAAGUAGCCAUCUGUGCCCUGGUGACAAAAUCCCAUUGUGAAGGAGCACAAUGCUCGAAAUGGAUUGAGACAGUGGCCCCUUCCCAGCUGGUAGAACUCCAGGCAGCCUGCUCAGCUGGAGUGAGGGCUGGGAAGAGGCCAGGUGUUCCCACGGGGCGUGGGCAGGCUUGCCCGUGUGGGCAUCUUCUGGGGGACAUGGUCUCUCUGUGGAGGCUGGAUAGAGCACGAAGCCUUGCUCUUCUGCAUUACCGUCACUGUGUCCUCCCUAACUCCUGUCAGUCGGACUUUAGUGGAAUCUAGGUUUGCAUAUUUGGUGCCCAAAAAAGACCAUCCCUUUUAUGCACCAGGGAGAUAGUCUAUGCAAAGAAAGUCUUCCUUGCUUCCUCUUAUGACUCUGCCACCAAGCUAGGAAUAUCCUGGGAGAAUCGCCUCUCGGAGCUGCUUCCACGAGCAGCCCACAUCCUGGCAGAGCAGCGGGAGAAGAAUCACUUCCCACACCCAAGGCUGUCCAGAGAACUUUCCGUGAUGAUAGCAACGUUCCCUAUCUGCAGUCUCCGAUAUGGUAACCACUAGUCACAUGUGGCUGGUGCACACUUGAAGUGACUGAGUAGGUAACUCUGAAAUUUUACUUAUGUCAAUAAGGAAAACUAACCACAUGGCGCCAGUGGCUCUGGUAUUGGACACACAGUCCACAUCCUGCACUUCCUUGUGUUGCAGAGAGGUGGGAGAGUGUGGCCAGGGCCGUGCUUGGAGUCCCUUGGCCUUCAUUGUCUCACCCUGCAGUGGACCUUGUUUCCCCGAGGAAGAGGAGAAGUGGUUCUUUGGAACUGAAUUCAAGAUGCUGACUUGACGUGUAUGUUGCCCACCCUCUUGGGAUUCAUGAAUGUUUUGGGAGUAGGUCUCAGGAUUGCUUUUGGUGACAAAGGACGAUAAAGAAACCACAGUGCAGGUUCCCCUCGCCCUCUUAGUACCCGUUGUGUGUUCCUAAGUCAGAGUGUUUCCACGGUUUAUUUUGAUCUAUUGUGCAGGUUUUUUAAUUUUUGUAACAUUGUGACUUUUAAAUGAUUAUUCUGUGUAUGUUUUCCAAAAUACCUAGUGAUUUAUAUUUUUUAAAAAAG